GCAAUGCAGCCAUACUAGAUACUUUAGUGUUCGAUGACUGCGAUACCGGACAGAAACAGUUUACAGGAUUAAACCAUUUUUAUCAGUUUGCAGUUUCAGAGUUCAGUCCAUCAUAGAGAAUUCAUGACUACUCAGUUCAGGGCAGCAGGAGAGUGUGGCGGAGGCUGUUUACAUUACGGUUGACCAUGAAGCCAGAACACAGAAGAACAAAAUUCAAACUGGAAACACAUUUCACUCUCCUGACACAGAAGGCCGCCCACCAGGAAACAGGGCCAUUUGCUGACUUGGAACUUCAGGCUUCCAUUUCCCCAAUCCUUGUUCUGAUAGAGAGGGCGCUAGCUUCAGGAACAGUCACUGCUACAGAUACAUCGCAAAUCACAGCAGAAAGUCGGGCUCGCCACAUCCCCGUCUCUAAAGCUGAUACCACCUUUAUGACAAUACAAAGAUGCAUGUGUGCCCUGUCAGAUCAAGAUGUGAACUCUUAGCUGUUCCUGCAACCAUGCCUUCACUUCACCAUCAUAGACCUAAUCCUCUGAAACCAUAAACCUAAUUAAACAAUUAAAUGCUUUCC
rnacentral:lncRNA from 1 species